rnacentral:tRNA from 1 species
GCGUGGGUGGUGUAGUGGUAACAUAGGUCGUUGCCAUUCAGCCGAUCUGCUAGAGAGCGUCGAAUUCAAUUCGACCUGCCCGGGGUUCGAUUCCCUGUCCACGCA